CAGUAGCCACGGGAAUACGAAGGGGGCUAGCGUUGUUCGGAAUUACUGGGCGUAAAGCGCACGUAGGCGGAUAUUUAAGUCAGGGGUGAAAUCCCAGAGCUCAACUCUGGAACUGCCUUUGAUACUGGGUAUCUUGAGUAUGGAAGAGGUGAGUGGAAUUCCGAGUGUAGAGGUGAAAUUCGUAGAUAUUCGGAGGAACACCAGUGGCGAAGGCGGCUCACUGGUCCAUUACUGACGCUGAGGUGCGAAAGCGUGGGGAGCAAACAGGAUUAGAUCCCCCGUAGUCCCUGUCUCUUAUACA
rnacentral:rRNA from 1 species